rnacentral:lncRNA from 1 species
UUUGAUUAAUUGGUUCUAUUCUUUUUUAUAUCGUAUGUGCUGACUUCAAUUUGGCAAUUUCUUGGGGAUAUCUUUUUUAUCAAAUUGUAUUUUCGCGGAGUUCAACAGUGAAAAUGUGAAAUAUGUCCAAUUAUUUGAAUUUUUGUUGAUAUUUUGAAAUUGAUAUUAUGUAUUGAUGAGCCAUCAAGUUAAAAUUAAAAAGAAUUCCAAGUUGCAAAUGCUAUUUGGAAGUUGAAUUUGCUCUGCUAGGUUGCAGAGUAUACUUGAAUUUAUUUUAUCAAAAGAUGAAUAUUUAUCAUCUCUUAGUUUCCCCUUCUUUGUCAUAUAUCUUUACGAAAUUGUUGUAGAAAUAUUUAGAUGAUAAUUGGAUUGUGUUGAUAAUGUACUUGGAAGAUCAUACGAGGAAUUUCAGGGAAAAAAGGGUUUGUUGCUUGUGUCCAUUUUAUUUCAGGUGUCCGGAAAAAAAUGUUGAGUGUGGAAAGUAUAUCCAUCCUUGUGCGUUUGGGUCUGUUAUUCAUAUUGAUAGUUGACAUUCCAUGUGAGGAAGCAUAUUUCACAUAAAACAUAUAUUCACUUUGUGUUGUUAGGUAACUAUUGUAGCUUUGCACAUCUGCUUUCGUAAUGGUUUAUUGUUGCACAUUUUAUAGGCUAAUGUUGCUAGAAGAAAUCGAAUUUCUUUCCGUUCAAAUGAUGGAAUGAUGAUUGAUGGCGUUAAAGAUUACUCUCACCUGGUUGCUGAAAUGAUAUGAUUGUCGUAAGUUUUAACUUACUAUGAAUGCUUUUAGUUUUCGUCAACUGCAACUCUAUUAUGUAUUUUGAGCCGAAUAUUUUUAAAUAACAGCAUCAACAUAAUUAAAUUUAUUUUACUCUUGAAACGACAAAUAUGUUUCCUCUUCCUUUUUGAUGAAAGUUAAAUCACAAUAGAUUUGUCUUUUAUAUGAAGAUUUUCUUCUUCUGAAUUGCUGUUGCGCACUGUACUUGAUAUUGGUUGCGGGUCUGGUAGUUUUAGUGCUCGUCUUCUAUCGCUUAAGCUGAUGUGUGACAGCAUAUGAGCCAACAGGUAGACAUGUUCAAUUGGCACUUGAUAGAGGUCUCCCUUCAAUCAAAACUUAAUCUAAAGACAGGUCCCUCUUCAUCCUUUGUCAUAUGAAGUGGUUCACUGCACUCAAUGUAGCAUUGUCUGGGAUAACAAAGGUAUGAUCCUCAUUAAGGUUUGGGGUUUUGUUUUUUUCCAUUAAAUCACCAUUUCUUCAUCAGAUUAAGUGCAGUGGUUUUUAUUGAUUUUUCACCGAUGAAAAUACUUGAAAUUAAUUUGACAUUUAGCCUAAUGUAUUGCGAACUUUUCUGAUCCAAACAAGAAGGAAAAGAAAGCGAAUGAUCCAAACAAGCCAAAGAGACCUCCAAGUGCUUUCUUUGUUUUCAUGUAUGCCCAUUUGCAUUUUUGGUCUCUAUCAUUUCUGUCUAUUGUUCUUAUAUAUUACCUUUUUUAUGCCGCUUGGCAGACUACAACAAUAAUUUGGUAAUCCAUCUAUGAGAAGCACGGUGUUAUACACAGUUUAGUUUGAAUUGUGAUACUGAAACGACUUGUGCCGAACUGUUUUUAUAGGCUAGAGGGGCUGUUGAAUUCGACAAGGCAAAGUCUGAGGUUAAUGGUGAUGAGGACGAUGAGAACAGUGGAGACGUUAGUUGAAAUUAAGCUAUACAACUUUUUUGUACUUGAAACUUUGCUACUAUGUUGACUUUUUAUUUUGUUUUAAUUAAUUUAGGGGGAAGACGAUGAGUAAGCACUAUUACAGAAAACUGGAUUUUGGAUUCAAGGUGAGAACCAACAAUCAAUCUUCCUUCAUUAUUUGCAUUUAUGGCUUCAGGUUUUGUAAAAUGUUCGAUUUGAAAGUGAGUUAAUUGGAUUGGUAGAUUUCAUGAAGAAUUAUUGUGUAAAAUUUGGCUUCAGGUGAAUUUUACUGAAAUUAAUUGAAAGUAAUUAUCAAUAAUACUCCUUUUUUAAUUUUUAUUUUUUAAAGUUGCUAAUGUGUUUGUUCUUCCUUUCAGUGAGGGAACAAGCAUCUCUUUGCCAUUAACUUGGGGCAAAAAAAGAGAGGAAACGUAUGCCUUGUUUUUCAUUAUUGCCUAUUGGUACACAAGACGUAUUUAGAGGAAAGGGGUGGAGGAAGAGGGGGUUGAGUGCUUGUAGACCAUGAGCAAAAAUGGCAGACUACAAUAAGAAUUUGGUAAUUUCAUCUAUGAAAUUCUCUAUUACAAUGCACUACGUGCAUCUCACAUGCGAAGAACUAGUUCGAUAAAUAUUCAAUAUUUUGCAGCAAGCUUCAUAUCUUGUUAAAUUUUGAAGGUCCUUCCUUUUGUGAAAUCAUUUAAGUUAAAAAUGUUAAGAGAGAAAAACAUUAAUUUAUUAAUAUCUUCAAAACUCUUCUUAUGGUGCAGGUAGAUUUAAUUUUUCUAUAAACAUUAAAUUUCUGACUUUGAUGGGGAUGAUGUUAUUAUUUUACAGAUUUUCAUCUGGUCGUCCAUUACCAAUACAAUUUCGAGACUCGAUUUGAUUAGAGACUAAUAGCUCAGUCAUCUACCAGGUCAAGAAAGUUAUUAAUUGGGUUAGUUGCUGUAAGCUUGUGGGCUGACCACCUAUAUGCCUGCUUUGCAUAUAUUUCGUUGCCAGCUCCAAUCCACAUCAUUUGAUGACGUGUUGUUUACAACAAAUUUGACUUGUACACAAUAUCUGUUAUUACGAGAGUUAGAGAGAGAGGCCAAUUCAAACCAUCAUUUGGUGACACAUUUUUUAAGAGCAAUCGUGGAACCUAUAUUUGUUAAGUGAAGUCAAUGUUAUGCUGAAGCAAACAAAAGAUUAUGACGAUUGAGGAUAGUCAAGUUCACAUUUCACUUCUUAUCUUUCCAUUCUCUCUCUUUUAGAGUAAAGAUCAUUUGUAGUAUUUCGUGGCUACCAAAUAUUCAAAUACUCCAGGGAACAUUGUAGAUGUAAAAUUCUGCAUUAUAUAAUAGGAGGAAUUUCUUUUUUUUUUUUUUUUUUCCUAAAUGGAUUAUCAGGUAAGUUGUCAUUAUUUGCAAUAGUAAUAGGCUUUUUAUUAUGAUGUGCAGUUGCACAUGUCCAUGUGUGUCCACGUAUACUUGUGUGUGUAAAUGUGGA